rnacentral:rRNA from 1 species
UACGUAGGGACCAAGCGUUGUUCGGAUUUACUGGGCGUAAAGGGGCGCGUAGGCGGCGCGGUAAGUCACUUGUGAAAUCUCUGAGCUUAACUCAGAACGGCCAAGUGAUACUGCAGUGCUAGAGUGUGGAAGGGCAAUCGGAAUUCUUGGUGUAGCGGUGAAAUGCGUAGAUAUCAGGAGGAACACCGAUGGCGAAGGCAGGUCUCUGGGCCAUAACUGACGCUGAGAAGCGAAAGCAUGGGGAGCAAACAGGA